rnacentral:misc_RNA from 1 species
GAUGAAGAACGUAGCGAAAUGCGAUAAGUAAUGUGAAUUGCAGAAUUCAGUGAAUCAUCGAAUCUUUGAACGCACCUUGCGCCCUUUGGACUUCUGAAGGGCAUGCCUGUUUGAGUAUCAUGAACACCUCAACUCCUUAUGGUCUUCCAUGAUGAGCUUGGACUUUGGGGGUUUUGCUGGCCUACAGUCAGCUCCUCUAAAAUAAAUCAGCUUACCGGUGUUUGGUGGGUAUCAUGGGUGUGAUAACUAUCUACGCUCGUGGUUUUCCACCAGGUAACCUUCAGCAGUGGAGGUUCACUGGAGCUCAUAGAUGUCUCUCCUCAGCGAGGACAGCCCUUUGAAUGUUUGAUCUCAAAUCAGGUAGGGCUACCCGCUGAACUUAAGCAUAUCAAUAAGCGGAGGA